GAUGAAGAACGUAGCGAAAUGCGAUAAGUAAUGUGAAUUGCAGAAUUCAGUGAAUCAUCGAAUCUUUGAACGCACAUUGCGCCCGUCAGUAUUCUGGCGGGCAUGCCUGUUCGAGCGUCAUUACGCCCCUCAAGUCCCCUGUGGACUUGGUGUUGGGGAUCGGUGAGGCUGGUUUUCCAGCACAGCCGUCCCUUAAAUUAAUUGGCGGUCUCGCCGUGGCCCUCCUCUGCGCAGUAGUAAAACACUCGCAACAGGAGCCCGGCGCGGUCCACUGCCGUAAAACCCCCCAACUUUUUAUAGUUGACCUCGAAUCAGGUAGGACUACCCGCUGAACUUAAGCAUAUCAAUAAGCGGAGGA
rnacentral:misc_RNA from 1 species